AACGAACGUUGGCGGCGUGGAUUAGGCAUGCAAGUCGUACGCGAAAGAGGGGGCAACUCCUCGAGUAAAGUGGCGAACGGGUGAGUAACGCGUAAGGAAACCCUGCCUUCGAGAGUGGGGAUAACACUCCUAACGGGGUGCUAAUACCGAAUGACACUGGCGGGAUCGCAUGGUUCUGCAGUCAAAGGUGGCCUCUGCUUGCAAGCUACCAC
rnacentral:rRNA from 1 species